rnacentral:rRNA from 1 species
AUUGAACGCUGGCGGCAGGCUUAACACAUGCAAGUCGAACGAGUGGCGGACGGGUGAGUAAUGCUUGGGAAUCUAGCUUAUGGAGGGGGAUAACUACGGGAAACUGUAGCUAAUACCGCGUACCAUAGGAUGAGCCCAAGUGGGAUUAGGUAGUUGGUGCGGUAAAGGCUCACCAAGCCGACGAUCUCUAGAUUGUCUGAGAGGAUGACCAGCAACACUGGGACGGGGACACGGCCCAGACGCCUACGGGAGGCAGCAGUGGGGAAUAUUGCGCAAUGGGGGAAACCUGACGCAGCCAUGCCGCGUGAAGUAAGAGGGCCUUCGGGUUGUAAAGUUCUUUCGGUAGCGAGGCGUUAACUACAGAAAAAGCACCGGCUAACUCCGUGCCAGCAGCCGCGGUAAUAC